CGCUCGACUGCGGGAGAGACUGGUUUUCUCCAGCGCCGAAGGAGCAACCGCCCCGGAAACUCUCAGGCAAACGGACCGCAGUCCGAGC
rnacentral:ncRNA from 2 species